AUACUUACUAUAAACAGCAGGGGAGAAAACAUGAUCACAGAGGUGAUUCUCCCAGUGCCAGUGUUAUUCAUUGCUCUGCAGAUGUGCUGACUCCUGAUAUUUCCCCAAAUGUGGGAAACUUGAUUGCAUAGUUUCUGGUAGUGAGGGGCUGUUUUCACAUUCUCCCCUA